rnacentral:rRNA from 1 species
GACGAACGCUGGCGGCGUGCCUAAUACAUGCAAGUCGAACGGUUUAGUUCCAAGAGGCUUGCCUUUUGGAACUAGACAGUGGCGGACGGGUGAGUAACACGUAGGCAACCUACCUGUCAAACCGGGAUAACCUCGGGAAACUGAAGCUAAACCCGGAUAAGCCCCUUUUUCGCAUGAAGGGGGAGUGAAAAGGUGCGACCUGAUGACACAUAGGCCUGCGGCCCAUUUGCUAGUAGGUAGGGUAACGGCCUACAUAGGCGAUGAUGCGUAGCCGACCUGGGAGAGCGUAAGGCCACACGAGAACUGGGAUACGGCCCAGACGCCUGCGGGAGGCAGCAGUAUGGAAUCGUCGGCAGUGGGCGAAAGCCUGGCCGAGCGACGCCGCGUGAGUGAGAAAAGCGUUCGGGGUGUAAAGCUCUGUUGAUGGGGAAAAAGGGAAAGUGUAGGACCCUUUGGUGACGGUACCAAACGAAAAAGCCCCGGCUAACUACGUG